rnacentral:rRNA from 1 species
ACCGAACCGACUAAUGUUGAAAAAUUAGCGGAUGACUUGUGGCUGGGGGGGAAAGGCCAAUCAAACCGGGAGAUAGCUGGUUCUCCCCGAAAGCUAUUUAGGUAGCGCCUCGUGAACUCAUCUCCGGGGGUAGAGCACUGUUUCGGCAAGGGGGUCAUCCCGACUUACCAACCCGAUGCAAACUGCGAAUACCGGAGAAUGUUAUCACGGGAGACACACGGCGGGUGCUAACGUCCGUCGUGAAGAGGGAAACAACCCAGACCGCCAGCUAAGGUCCCAAAGUCAUGGUUAAGUGGGAAACGAUGUGGGAAGGCCCAGACAGCCAGGAUGUUGGCUUAGAAGCAGCCAUCAUUUAAAGAAAGCGUAAUAGCUCACUGGUCGAGUCGGCCUGCGCGGAAGAUGUAACGGGGCUAAACCAUGCACCGAAGCUGCGGCAGCGACGCUGAUGCGUUGUUGGGUAGGGGAGCGUUCUGUAAGCCUGCGAAGGUGUGCUGUGAGGCAUGCUGGAGGUAUCAGAAGUGCGAAUGCUGACAUAAGUAACGAUAAAGCGGGUGAAAAGCCCGCUCGCCGGAAGACCAAGGGUUCCUGUCCAACGUUAAUCGGGGCAGGGUGAGUCGACCCCUAAGGCGAGGCCGAAAGGCGUAGUCGAUGGGAAACAGGUUAAUAUUCCUGUACUUGGUGUUACUGCGAAGGGGGGACGGAGAAGGCUAUGUUGGCCGGGCGACGGUUGUCCCGGUUUAAGCGUGUAGGCUGGUUUUCCAGGCAAAUCCGGAAAAUCAAGGCUGAGGCGUGAUGACGAGGCACUACGGUGCUGAAGCAACAAAUGCCCUGCUUCCAGGAAAAGUCUCUAAGCAUCAGGUAACAUCAAAUCGUACCCCAAACCGACACAGGUGGUCAGGUAGAGAAUACCAAGGCGCUUGAGAGAACUCGGGUGAAGGAACUAGGCAAAAUGGUGCCGUAACUUCGGGAGAAGGCACGCUGAUAUGUAGGUGAAG